CGAGUCGCCCCGAGCGUUAUCCGGAAUCAGUUGGGCGUAAAGGGUGUGUAGGUGGUUGUGUUAGUCGAUUGUUAAAACCUGGGGCUCAACCCCAGACAUGCGAUCGAAACGGCACGACUAGAGGAUGCGAGGGAUGUAUGGAACUCAUGGAGUAGGGGUGAAAUCCGUUGAUAUCAUGGGGAACACCAAAAGCGAAGGCAGUACAUUGGCGCACUCCUGACACUGAAACACGAAAGCGUGGGUAGCGAAUGGGAUUAGAUACCCCAGUAGUCCACGCCCUAAACGAUGACAACUAGGUUUUCGGAGUAUCGACCCUCUGAGAGCCGUAGCUAACGCGUUAAGUUGUCCGCCUGGGUAGUACGACCGCAAGGUUA
rnacentral:rRNA from 1 species